UACGUAGGGUGCAAGCGUUAAUCGGAAUUACUGGGCGUAAAGCGUGCGCAGGCGGUGAUGUAAGACAGGUGUGAAAUCCCCGGGCUUAACCUGGGAACUGCAUUUGUGACUGCAUCGCUGGAGUGCGGCAGAGGGGGAUGGAAUUCCGCGUGUAGCAGUGAAAUGCGUAGAUAUGCGGAGGAACACCGAUGGCGAAGGCAAUCCCCUGGGCCUGCACUGACGCUCAUGCACGAAAGCGUGGGGAGCA
rnacentral:rRNA from 1 species